GACGAACGCUGGCGGCGUGCUUAACACAUGCAAGUCGAACGGAAAGGCCCUGCUUUUGUGGGGUGCUCGAGUGGCGAACGGGUGAGUAACACGUGAGUAACCUGCCCUUGACUUUGGGAUAACUUCAGGAAACUGGGGCUAAUACCGGAUAGGAGCUCCUGCUGCAUGGUGGGGGUUGGAAAGUUUCGGCGGUUGGGGAUGGACUCGCGGCUUAUCAGCUUGUUGGUGGGGUAGUGGCUUACCAAGGCUUUGACGGGUAGCCGGCCUGAGAGGGUGACCGGCCACAUUGGGACUGAGAUACGGCCCAGACUCCUACGGGAGGCAGCAGUGGGGAAUAUUGCACAAUGGGCGGAAGCCUGAUGCAGCAACGCCGCGGUCGGGAUGACGGCCUUCGGGUUGUAAACCGCUUUCGCCUGUGACGAAGCGUGAGUGACGGUAAUGGGUAAAGAAGCACCGGCUAACUACGUG
rnacentral:rRNA from 1 species